UGCUUUGCGCAGUGGCAGUAUCGUAGCCAAUGAGGUUAAUCCGAGGCGUGAUUAUUGCUAAUUGAAAACUUUUCCCAAUACCCCGCCAUGACGACUUGAAAUAUAGUCAGCAUUGGCAAUUUUUGACAGUCUCUACCAAUGA
rnacentral:snRNA from 1 species